AGCGAACGCGGGCGGCAGGCUUAACACAUGCAAGUCGAACGGGCGUAGCAAUACGUCAGUGGCAGACGGGUGAGUAACGCGUGGGAACGUACCUUUUGGUUCGGAACAACACAGGGAAACUUGUGCUAAUACCGGAUAAGCCCUUACGGGGAAAGAUUUAUCGCCGAAAGAUCGGCCCGCGUCUGAUUAGCUAGUUGGUGAGGUAACGGCUCACCAAGGCGACGAUCAGUAGCUGGUCUGGGAGGAUGAUCAGCCACAUUGGGACUGAGACACGGCCCAAACUCCUACGGGAGGCAGCAGUGGGGAAUAUUGGACAAUGGGCGCAAGCCUGAUCCAGCCAUGCCGCGUGAGUGAUGAAGGCCCUAGGGUUGUAAAGCUCUUUUGUGCGGGAAGAUAAUGACGGUACCGCAAGAAUAAGCCCCGGCUAACUUCGUG
rnacentral:rRNA from 1 species